rnacentral:rRNA from 1 species
UCGAACGCACAGCGAAAGGUGCUUGCACCUUUCAAGUGAGUGGCGAACGGGUGAGUAACACGUGGACAACCUACCUCAAGGCUGGGGAUAACAUUUGGAAACAGAUGCUAAUACCGAAUAAAACUUAGUGUCGCAUGACACAAAGUUAAAAGGCGCUUCGGCGUCACCUAGAGAUGGAUCCGCGGUGCAUUAGUUAGUUGGUGGGGUAAAGGCCUACCAAGACAAUGAUGCAUAGCCGAGUUGAGAGACUGAUCGGCCACAUUGGGACUGAGACACGGCCCAAACUCCUACGGGAGGCUGCAGUAGGGAAUCUUCCACAAUGGGCGAAAGCCUGAUGGAGCAACGCCGCGUGUGUGAUGAAGGCUUUCGGGUCGUAAAGCACUGUUGUAUGGGAAGAACAGCUAGAAUAGGAAAUGAUUUUAGUUUGACGGUACCAUACCAGAAAGGGACGGCUAAAUACGUGCCAGCAGCCGCGGUAAUACGUAUGUCCCGAGCGUUAUCCGGAUUUAUUGGGCGUAAAGCGAGCGCAGACGGUUUAUUAAGUCUGAUGUGAAAGCCCGGAGCUCAACUCCGGAAUGGCAUUGGAAACUGGUUAACUUGAGUGCAGUANAGGUAAGUGGAACUCCAUGUGUAGCGGUGGAAUGCGUAGAUAUAUGGAANAACACCAGUGGCGAANGCGGCUUACUGGACUGCAACUGACGUUGAGGCUCGAAAGUGUGGGUAGCAAACAGGAUUAGAUACCCUGGUAGUCCACACCGUAAACNAUGAACACUANGUGUUANGAGGUUUCCGCCUCUUANUGCCGAAGCUAACGCAUUNAGUGUUCCGCCUGGGGAGUACGACCGCAAGGUUGANCUCAG